rnacentral:rRNA from 1 species
AUUGAACGCUGGCGGCAUGCUUUACACAUGCAAGUCGAACGGUAACAGGGAGCUUGCUCCGCUGACGAGUGGCGAACGGGUGAGUAACACGUAAGUAAUCUACCCUCGAGUGGGGAAUAACAACCGGAAACGGUUGCUAAUACCGCAUAAUGCAGCGGCACCGCAAGGUGACAGUUGUUAAAGAUUUAUCGCUUGAGGAGGAGCUUGCGGCAGAUUAGCUAGUUGGUAGGGUAACGGCUUACCAAGGCUACGAUCUGUAACCGGUCUAAGAGGACGGUCGGUCACACUGACACUGAAUAACGGGUCAGACUCCUACGGGAGGCAGCAGUCGGGAAUUUUGGGCAAUGGGCGAAAGCCUGACCCAGCAACGCCGCGUGAAGGAUGAAGUAUUUCGGUAUGUAAACUUCGAAAGAAUAGGAAGAAUUAAUGACGGUACUAUUUAUAAGGUCCGGCUAACUACGUG